rnacentral:misc_RNA from 1 species
UUUCCGUAGGUGAACCUGCGGAAGGAUCAUUACCGAGUGAGGGCCCUCUGGGUCCAACCCCCCACCCGUGUUUAUCGUACCUUGUUGCUUCGGCGGGCCCGCCUCACGGCCGCCGGGGGGCACCCGCCCCCGGGCCCGCGCCCGCCGAAGACACCAUUGAACGCUGUCUGAAGAUUGCAGUCUGAGCAUCUUAGCUAAAUCAGUUGAAACUUUCAACAACGGAUCUCUUGGUUCCG